GAUGAACGCUGGCGGUGUGCCUAAUACAUGCAAGUCGAGCGAACAGACGAGGAGCUUACUCCUCUGACGUUAGCGGCGGACGGGUGAGUAACACGUGGAUAACCUACCUAUAAGACUGGGAUAACUUCGGGAAACCGGAGCUAAUACCGGAUAACAUGUUGAACCGCAUGGUUCAACAGUGAAAGACGGUCUUGCUGUCACUUAUAGAUGGAUCCGCGUCGCAUUAGCUAGUUGGUAAGGUAACGGCUUACCAAGGCAACGAUGCGUAGCCGACCUGAGAGGGGGAUCGGCCACACUGGAACUGAGACACGGUCCAGACUACUACGGGAGGCAGCAGUAGGGAAUCUUCCGCAAUGGGCGAAAGCCUGACGGAGCAACGCCGCGUGAGUGAAGAAGGUCUUCGGAUCGUAAAACUCUGUUAUUAGGGAAGAACAAAUGUGUAAGUAACUAUGCACGUCUUGACGGUACCUAAUCAGAAAGCCACGGCUAACUACGUG
rnacentral:rRNA from 1 species